UGGGGAAUAUUGGACAAUGGGCGCAAGCCUGAUCCAGCCAUGCCGCGUGAGUGAAGAAGGCCUUCGGGUUGUAAAGCUCUUUUGUCCGGAAAGAAAAGCUCUCGGUUAAUACCCGGGGGUUCUGACGGUACCGGAAGAAUAAGCACCGGCUAACUUCGUGCCAGCAGCCGCGGUAAUACGAAGGGUGCAAGCGUUACUCGGAAUUACUGGGCGUAAAGCGUGCGUAGGUGGUUCGUUAAGUCUGAUGUGAAAGCCCUGGGCUCAACCUGGGAAUGGCAUUGGAUACUGGCGAUCUAGAGUGCGGUAGAGGGCAGUGGAAUUCCCGGUGUAGCAGUGAAAUGCGUAGAGAUCGGGAGGAACAUCUGUGGCGAAGGCGACUGCCUGGACCAGCACUGACACUGAGGCACGAAAGCGUGGGGAGCAAACAG
rnacentral:rRNA from 1 species